GACGAACGCUGGCGGCGUGCCUAACACAUGCAAGUCAACUUGACUGAAGGAGCAAUCUGACAGUAGAGUGGCGCAAGGGUGCGUAACGCGUAAGUAACUUGCCCCAAGGUAAGGAAUAGCGUCGAGAAAUCGGCGCUAAUACCUCAUAAUGCAGCGGAUCCGCAUGGAUAUGUUGUUAAAGGUUUACCGCCUUGGGAUAGGCUUGCGUCUGAUUAGCUAGUGGUGUGGUAACGGCACACCAAGGCUACGAUCAGUAACUGGUCUGAGAGGGAUGAUCAGUCACACUGGAACUGAGACACGGUCCAGACUCCUACGGGAGGCAGCAGUGAGGAAUAUUGGGCAAUGCUCG
rnacentral:rRNA from 1 species